UACGGAGGGGGCUAGCGUUGUUCGGAAUUACUGGGCGUAAAGCGCGCGUAGGCGGACCUGCAAGUCGGGGGUGAAAGCCCGAGGCUCAACCUCGGAACUGCCUUCGAUACUGCGGGUCUCGAGUCCGGGAGAGGUGAGUGGAAUUCCUAGUGUAGAGGUGAAAUUCGUAGAUAUUAGGAAGAACACCAGUGGUGAAGGCGGCUCACUGGCCCGGUACUGACGCUGAGGCACGAAAGCGUGGGGAACAAACAGG
rnacentral:rRNA from 1 species